rnacentral:rRNA from 1 species
GAGGGGCAAGCGUUGUUCGGAAUUACUGGGCGUAAAGGGCGCGUAGGCGGCCUGCUAAGUCGAACGUGAAAUCCCCGGGCUCAACCCGGGAACUGCGUCCGAGACUGACAGGCUUGAAUCCGGGAGAGGGAUGUGGAAUUCCAGGUGUAGCGGUGAAAUGCGUAGAUAUCUGGAGGAACAUCGGUGGCGAAGGCGGCAUCCUGGACCGGUAUUGACGCUGAGGCGCGAAAGCCAGGGGAGCAAACGGGAUUAGAUACCCCGGUAGUCCUGGCCCUAAACGAUGAAUGCUUGGUGUGGUGGGUAUCGAUCCCCGCCGUGCCGAAGCUAACGCAUUAAGCAUUCCGCCUGGGGAGUACGGUCGCAAGGCUG